GAGACAUUUCGCUGCGUGUGCUGAUUUUUGUAGCGUGAAAAGUUGAGUUAUGAAAUUAGCGUGAACGUAAACGUGUUUAAAGUAACUUUCUCGGCAGGCUUUCAUUGACUUGUUCGGAAGAUCAUAUCAGAAAGUAAAGUUUGCUAACUAGGCAAGAAAGAUGUUGUUAUCGCCCUUACUUGGCCACAGAGAAGAAGGCUGGGUGCCCAAAAUCCAAUGACAUCACAAAGUACUUCAGUAUAACCCCACAACCUCUUGGGAGGAAGAGCCUAAUUUCUGAGCAGGUGAAAAAGAAACCCAAGAUGGCGCCUUGUCAUAGUAGGGGGUCUUAUGAUGAGGUGCCUCUCUCUGUGUCACGUUCAACCAGUAGGCUGCACAGACCCAAGCGGAACAGAUACCCCAAAGCAAGAACAAGCCUCAUCGAGGAUAGCCCCUGCUCAGACCCUCCUAAUAAUGUUAUAGUGAUUUCAGUGUUAAGCUGCUCCAGUGCUGACACAGCAUUCAGGAGCAGGGCAGUGAUGGGGUCUGUGGACCUGGCCAAUGCCAUAGAGCAGGAGUUGGACUCACAUCUGGCCAGAAUGAAAUAGCAUGUACCCUCACAAUUCAGGCAGCGGUGCAGUCUGCCUCUGGGACAACCAGGGUCUCGGAUGAGAAACUGGACACUAAUAAGGCCCAUAGUACCCAACACUCAGAGACUGAUUUUGAAUUGGUGGUCCAGCUCAACACUUAAACACAACUGAGAGGAAGGGGUCAAUUACUUCUGGCUGGAGAGAUAAGUUGUCAGGGACUGUCUGCAAAGGGUCUCUUGAAGACGUCAAAGUGUCUAGCCCACUGUUCCCAGUCUUCACUGCUGCUAAAGAAAUACAAAGAUAAACUUCUGGAGUCGGAAAGUCCAGAGACAAGAGAUAGGCGCUGCAUCUCCUAGCUCUGUAGGAGAGAAGAGGAAACAUCAGAAUGAGAGGGAGGACCCUGAAACAGUACGCAAGCGCCAAAGG